rnacentral:rRNA from 2 species
UCUGGCGGCAGUAGCGCGGUGGUCCCACCUGACCCCAUGCCGAACUCAGAAGUGAAACGCCGUAGCGCCGAUGGUAGUGUGGGGUCUCCCCAUGCGAGAGUAGGGAACUGCCAGAU